rnacentral:rRNA from 1 species
UGUGCCAGCCGCCGCGGUAAUACGAAGGGUGCAAGCGUUACUCGGAAUUACUGGGCGUAAAGCGUGCGUAGGUGGUUCGUUAAGUCUGAUGUGAAAGCCCUGGGCUCAACCUGGGAAUUGCAUUGGAAACUGGCGGGCUAGAGUACGGUAGAGGGUAGUGGAAUUCCUGGUGUAGCAGUGAAAUGCGUAGAGAUCAGGAGGAACAUCCGUGGCGAAGGCGACUACCUGGACCAGUACUGACACUGAGGCACGAAAGCGUGGGGAGCAAACAGGA